ACGUUUGUGGUUCAAUCGGCAGAAUAGCGGUCUCCAAAACCGUUGAUCUAGGUUCAAACCCUAGCAAGCGUG
rnacentral:tRNA from 1 species